AGCCUUCACACAAGUGCUACGCCACCCUGGUAGAGGAACGGGGCGUUGAUCCUUCACAAACCGUCGGCGAAUGCUUCAUGUGGUUUGCUGCGAGGACUGGUACAGUGAGACGUGUUGGCAAGCAACGAGCGGGCCGGACACGAGGAGGUUUGAACUCAGCGCACGGGCCGAGCCGUCGAUCGAGGGUCAUAGCCUGGUACCUUCCGAGUGAACCGGCUCUGAUGUGAGUCAUCGUGAAAAGGACGGCUGUAGAGACGACACCCGCUUCGAGCGCAGCGCGUCAAA
rnacentral:lncRNA from 1 species